UACGAAGGGGGCUAGCGUUGCUCGGAAUCACUGGGCGUAAAGCGCACGUAGGCGGAUUCUUAAGUCGGUGGUGAAAUCCUGGAGCUCAACUCCAGAACUGCCUUCGAUACUGAGAGUCUCGAGUCCGGGAGAGGUGAGUGGAACUGCGAGUGUAGAGGUGAAAUUCGUAGAUAUCCGCAAGAACACCAGUGGCGAAGGCGGCUCACUGGCCCGGUACUGACGCUGAGGUGCGAAAGCGUGGGGAGCAAACAGG
rnacentral:rRNA from 1 species